UACGGAGGGGGCUAGCGUUGUUCGGAAUUACUGGGCGUAAAGCGCACGUAGGCGGCGACUCAAGUCAGAGGUGAAAGCCCGGGGCUCAACCCCGGAACUGCCUUUGAAACUAGGUUGCUAGAAUCUUGGAGAGGUCAGUGGAAUUCCGAGUGUAGAGGUGAAAUUCGUAGAUAUUCGGAAGAACACCAGUGGCGAAGGCGACUUACUGGACACAUAUUGACGCUGAGGUGCGAAAGCGUGGGGAGCAAACAGG
rnacentral:rRNA from 1 species